CCCUGCAUCGGGAAACUUAGGUUUUGCACAUACAUUUAUUUCCCUCCGGGGGAUUUCAUUACCUGAAAGUGCACAGGAGACACAGACCCUUCAUGUCACUCUGGGAUUUUUUUUUUUUCCUCUCUCUCUCUCACGUUUUAAUUUACGGCUUGGGUAAAUUAAAACAGUCACUGGCGCUCCGGACCCCAGCACCACGAGCGUGAAAGUUGUUUUUUCCCUUUUUUUUUUUUUUUUUUUUUGUUAAGAUCGCAGCAGUAGCGUCGCCCCCCAGGUGGCCUGGCCGCGGGCGCCAGGGCGCACUUGGGAUCGCGGAGCCGUCCGGUCCCGGGACAGCGGCGCGCGCGCGCGGUGGGACAGCGACGCCCGCCAAGGUGCCGUGUCCCCGGCGGGGCCCGGCCGAGCGCGCUCGGCUCGGCUCGGCUCGGAGCGGCUCGGCUCGGCUCGGCUCAGCCGGGGCACCCGGACCGCGACCCGCGCGGGCCCCCAGCGCGGCCUACACCCUGCUCCCCACGCCCGCGCCGCGGCCACCCGCACCCCGCCAUACAGUCGAGACCCGCCGCGACGCCCUGGAGCGCGGGGUCCCCGCAGCCCCGCACCCCGCCGAGGCCACUCACCUCCCGAGCCCCUCGGAAAGGGACACAGGGGUCACGGCGUCGCCCCGCGGGCGCCCUCGCCUCCCGGGCUUGCGAGGCGCCGCCGCGGGGCCGGGAGGGCGGCUGCGCUCCCGCUCGCGUCCCGUCGCGUCCCGUGCCGUAGCUGUCGCCGCGCGUCCCCUUCUUCUCACUGCAUUAUCUUCUGCUUCUCUGAGGGCCGGGCGGGAGGCUUGGGAAGGGCCGUUUGCAACUUUUCUCCACUCUUUCUCGUCCGCCACCCACCCCCCCAGGUCAGCAAUCCCCCCCAAAAAAAAAAUGUCGAAAAGGGUGAAGAACUCGGGGAGGGAAAAGUGCGGAAAGGGCAAGGGGAGAGGUGAGAAUCACAGUCCCAAAAUAGAGGCAAGCCCCCCAAACGUGGGUCACAGACAGAGGGGGACAGGCGGGGGGCGGGGUGGGGGUGGGGGAAAGAGAA
rnacentral:lncRNA from 1 species